rnacentral:rRNA from 1 species
GAUGAACGCUGGCGGCGUGCCUAAUACAUGCAAGUCGAGCGAACAGAUGAGGAGCUUGCUCCUCUGACGUUAGCGGCGGACGGGUGAGUAACACGUGUAUAACCUACCUAUAAGACUGGGAUAACUUCGGGAAACCGGAGCUAAUACCGGAUAAUAUAUUGAACCGCAUGGUUCAUUAGUGAAAGACGGUUUUGCUGUCACUUAUAGAUGGAUCCGCGCCGCAUUAGCUAGUUGGUAAGGUAACGGCUUACCAAGGCAACGAUGCGUAGCCGACCUGAGAGGGGGAUAGGACACACGGGAACGGAGACACGGACCAGACUACUAAGGGAGGCAGCAGUAGGGAAUCUUCCGCAAUGGGCGAAAGCCUGACGGAGCAACGACGCGUGAGUGAUGAAGGUCUUCGGAUCGUAAAACUCUGUUAUUAGGGAAGAACAAAUGUGUAAGUAACUAUGCACGUAUUGACGGUACCUAAUCAGAAAGCCACGGCUAACUACGUG